UACGUAGGGCGCAAGCGUUGUCCGGAAUUAUUGGGCGUAAAGAGCUCGUAGGCGGUUUGUCGCGUCUGUCGUGAAAGCUUGGGGCUUAACCCCAAGUCUGCGGUGGAUACGGGCAGACUAGAGGCAGGUAGGGGAGAACGGAAUUCCCGGUGUAGCGGUGAAAUGCGCAGAUAUCAGGAGGAACACCAAUGGCGAAGGCAGCUCACUGGGACGGUAUUGACGCUGAGACGCGAAAGCGUGGGGAGCAAACAGG
rnacentral:rRNA from 1 species